CUUAGCCAGUAGUUGAUUAGGUGUUUAUUGUUCUCAAAUUUCUGGAAAAAAACGAAACAGUACUUCUGUUGAACUCGGAAAAUUAUGAAAUUUUGUGUACAAGAAGCAGAAAAGAAUUUCUUCUUUUUUUUUUUGUUAAUAUUCCUGGUGAAUUUUUGGGUGUAAUGGAAGGAGGAAGGUAAAGUAUGAUUAACUGUAGAGUUACAAUGGUGGGUUCAGAUGCUUCAUCAGACUACCACGUGACUGGAUCUGCUCAACCAGCAGUAGCAACCCAGUCGGGUGGGGGCGUGGGUGUCUCACCAGCACCGGCAGUGACUUUUCAGAAGAAAAACCGAGGUAGACCCAGAAGUGAUGGACCAAAAUGGGUCAGUAGCCACGCCUAUUUCUGUAAAGCCAAUUUCAUCCGCUGCACCUUCUCAAGUGAUCGAUUUUUCGUCGAAAAAGAAACGUUGGGUCAGCCAUUACGGUGUAUCAGCCCAAAGUUGAUGUUGCGAAUUCAGAUCAAAGGAUUUCUAGCCCAGUUUGUCGUAAACUUACAGCCCAUAUUAUCACUGCUUAUAUUGGAGAGGAUGUCAUCACAAAGGUUUUAUCAUUCUCUCAACAAGGGUCUUGGUCAAUAUGUAUUCUCUCAGCAACUGAUGUAAUCUCCAGUGCCACAUUUCGUCAACCAAAUACUUCUGAUGGUAUAGUGACAUUUGAGAGCCAGUAUGAUAUACUUUCUCUAGAUCAUUUAUUCAUUCCGAGACUGGAGGACUGAGAAGCCUAUAUGGUGGAAUGAGUGUGAUUCUAUCAAGCCUCGAUGGGCGUAUCAUUGGUGGUUGAGUUGCCGGUCUAUUGGUAGCUGCCAGUCCUGUGCAGAUCGUUGUGGGCUGCAUCCUUCCUGGAAAUUAGCAUGAGUAGACGUGAGCUGCAUAUCAUUCGCUUCCUAGUGAUCCAUAUCCAGUGAGGUCUUUUAAGUAAUCUGAACUAGUUUUCUAGAAAGUACUUCUUUUGCCUUCCCAUCUGGUGUUUCGUAUUAGAAUUGGGGAAGUACAAUGGCCCCGAAAAAGAUAAUUUCCAUUUGUUGUUAAGGUUUCCUUUCUAGUUUUAGCAAGUGUCAAACCUCUUCUCGUGGCAAUGCAUGUGAACUGUUGCAGUUCCUUUGCGACACGAAAUAUUUUAGCAUUGACUUUUCGGGACUUGUGUCUUAUAUUGUUGCCUUCACGGCAAGUCUUUGGCUAUUAAUUACCCUUUCAUCAUAGUAUAUGUAUUGGGAUUAUACAUUCAUAGAAUGCAGAUACAAGGGAAAAGUGUCCACACUCAUGGACGAAUCUAGGAUUUGUAGAACAUGGGUGGACCACUAAAAAGAAGAAGAUUAAAAUGCAUUAGGAGAGACCAUAGAUUCUUGUGCUCCAUAUUCUGGCCUUAAAUUCGCCCCUCUCCCAUAUGAGAGUAGUAGAUGAGACAUUCUAGACUACUUCGUCUUACAUUAUAUAACGAUGUUUGAUUAGAGAUGAAAUUCUUUUUUAGAAAUAAAGAAAGAUCUGGGAAGAAAGAACGUUUUCUUUUUUAGUUUGAGAUGGUAUUCUGGUUUUAUUAAUAAUCUUGUAGGAGCAACCAUAAUCAAACAUGAUACUACAAAAUAUUCACCAAAAUUAACAGUAUAAAGAAUCAUAUUAUUCUUAUUUAACUCUCUUCUGGUCAUCUCCAAAACCUUCUUUUCUCCUUGAUAUUGUAGACCUUCCCUAUUACUUUCAGAAUUUUCAUCUUGUCCAUCUUUAUUUAAAGAAGAUUGUACAUCAAACUUAUUUACCUUUCCAAGAGUAAGAUCCUAUUGAAGGUCAUGCUCGAUUUUGCGAUAUUAUACCUGUUAGGAAUAUUGCAAGCAUGUUCUUUAUCUCCUCCAAGAAACCACCAUGCUGUCAAUUAUGAAUUUCUUGAUGUCUUGCUGAAAUUCUUGGUAAUAGAUGAUUGCAGCCAUGAUUUGUGUUGCUAUUCAAGAAUUGAUUGGCUCUGAUACCAAUGUUGUGUUUUUAAUCGACUAAGCACACUCCUGAAUUAGUACAUAAGAAACUAAAAAUGGAUUAAUAGCUUCUAAACAGUUAAAGGAUAAUGGAAAUACAAGAGUUUAGAGAAAGAUGGGAGAGUUUAUUUCAUUUUCAAUAAAUAAGAGAUACAACUACUUUUUCAAUUAAUAACAUAUCAAUACUUUGAUAUAAUAAAAUAAAGGGGUAUUCCCUCCAACUAUGCCCGAAAUUCCAACUUCACACAUUAACUUCACUAACGCCUAUUACCCCUGAACUCAUUUAUUUUAUAAUUUCGUGCAUCUUAUUUGC